rnacentral:rRNA from 1 species
UACGUAGGGUGCAAGCGUUGUCCGGAAUUAUUGGGCGUAAAGAGCUCGUAGGCGGUCUGUCGCGUCGGCUGUGAAAACCCGUGGCUCAACCCCGAGCCUGCAUUCGAUACGGGCAGACUAGAGUUCGGUAGGGGAGACUGGAAUUCCUGGUGUAGCGGUGAAAUGCGCAGAUAUCGAGAGGAACACCUGCGGCGAAGGCGGGUUGCUGGGCUGACACUGACGCUGAACUGCGAAAGCUAGGGGAGCGAACGGG